AUUGAACGCUGGCGGAAUGCUUUACACAUGCAAGUCGAACGGUAGAGGGGGCAACCCCUUGAGAGUGGCGAACGGGUGAGUAAUAUAUCGGAACGUGCCCAGUCGUGGGGAUAACGUAGCGAAAGUUACGCUAAUACCGCAUACGAUCUACGGAUGAAAGCGGGGGACUCGCAAGAGCCUCGCGCGAUUGGAGCGGCCGAUAUCAGAUUAGGUAGUUGGUGGGGUAAAGGCUCACCAAGCCAACGAUCUGUAGCUGGUCUGAGAGGACGACCAGCCACACUGGAACUGAGACACGGUCCAGACUCCUACGGGAGGCAGCAGUGGGGAAUUUUUGGACAAUGGACGCAAGUCUGAUCCAGCCAUUCCGCGUGCAGGAUGAAGGCCCUCGGGUUGUAAACUGCUUUUGUACGGAACGAAAAGGUUUCUAUUAAUACUAGGAGCUCAUGACGGUACCGUAAGAAUAAGCACCGGCUAACUACGUGCCAGCAGCCGCGGUAAAGUG
rnacentral:rRNA from 1 species